UUACCGAGUGCGGGUCCUUUGGGCCCAACCUCCCAUCCGUGUCUAUUGUACCCUGUUGCUUCGGCGGGCCCGCCGCUUGUCGGCCGCCGGGGGGGCGCCUCUGCCCCCCGGGCCCGUGCCCGCCGGAGACCCCAACACGAACACUGUCUGAAAGCGUGCAGUCUGAGUUGAUUGAAUGCAAUCAGUUAAAACUUUCAACAAUGGAUCUCUUGGUUCCGGCAUCGAUGAAGAACGCAGCGAAAUGCGAUAACUAAUGUGAAUUGCAGAAUUCAGUGAAUCAUCGAGUCUUUGAACGCACAUUGCGCCCCCUGGUAUUCCGGGGGGCAUGCCUGUCCGAGCGUCAUUGCUGCCCUCAAGCCCGGCUUGUGUGUUGGGUCGCCGUCCCCCCGGAGAGGGGGACGGGCCCGAAAGGCAGCGGCGGCACCGCGUCCGAUCCUCGAGCGUAUGGGGCUUUGUCACAUGCUCUGUAGGAUUGGCCGGCGCCUGCCGACGUUUUCCAACCAUUCUUUCCAGGUUGACCUCGGAUCAGGUAGGGAUACCCG
rnacentral:rRNA from 1 species